UACGGAGGGUGCGAGCGUUAUCCGGAUUCACUGGGUUUAAAGGGUGCGUAGGUGGGAAUGUAAGUCAGUGGUGAAAUCUCCGGGCUUAACCCGGAACUGCCGUUGAUACUAUUUGUCUUGAAUAUAGUGGAGGUGAGCGGAAUAUGUCAUGUAGCGGUGAAAUGCUUAGAUAUGACAUAGAACACCAAUUGCGAAGGCAGCUUGCUACACUAUUAUUGACACUGAGGCACGAAAGCGUGGGGAUCGAAACAAGG
rnacentral:rRNA from 1 species